CUUUUUCAGAUUGUUACAUAAACCAUUUAAGAGGAGCUGCCCUUGCAUUUGGUGCACAGUCAACUGGGACACUGCUGAGUUUCCAGACUGCUUACCUAGGCAUUAUCUUUGCCUUCACUAUAUAUGAUGCAGGAUAUGGUUGCAGAGUGUGGUCGUUUACCAAUGUCAAGCAUUAUUUGAGCCCAUUAAAUGGUGCAUAGAUAGUCCAAUCAACAGACCAAAAUAUUGAUUCAGUACACCAUACUUAAUAAAUUUAAAGCCCUAAUAUCAGAUUCUGGGUUUUCAUUUCCCUUGAGAAAAGUGCAAUACAGACUUCACAAGCCUAACCCUGAUACAUUGUACAUAUUGUCUUGAUCACAGUAGAAGCUCAUACAUAGCUGUUACUAAUAGACUUGUUUCUACUUCAAAUUUGGUAAUAAAGGUGUGUGUGACCAUUAAA